AACAAACGCUGGCGGCGUGCCUAAUACAUGCAAGUCAAACGGGUAGCAAUACCAGUGGCGCACGGGUGAGGAAUACAUGGGUAAUCUGCCCUCAAGUCGGGGAUAACAAGUCGAAAGAUUUGCUAAUACCGGAUAAGACCACAAGAUCUGCGGAUCAAGGGGUUAAAGGUUUUUCGCUUGAGGAUGAGCCCAUGUGGGAUUAGCUAGUUGGUGAGGUAAUGGCUCACCAAGGCUACGAUCCCCUAGCUGGUCUUAGAGGAUGAUCAGCCACACUGGAACUGAGACACGGGUCCAGACUCCUACGGGAGGCAGCAGUAGGGAAUAUUGCACAAUGGGGGAAACCCUGAUGCAGCGACGCCGCGUGAGUGAUGAAGGCCUUCGGGUCGUAAAGCUCUGUCGUAUGGGAAUAACGAUAAUGAAUGUACCAUGCAAGAAAGGAUCGGGCUAAACUUCGUGCCAGCCGCCGCAGUAAU
rnacentral:rRNA from 1 species